AUGCAUUGGCACACACAUAUGACCGGGAUGACGCUGAAACAAAUAAGAACGGUGCACGCACUGAAUUGGAUUUCAGUCAACCAAAUACCGCUGAUUUCAGUCACUAAAAUGCUAAUCUCAACAAGACAAACAAAGGCUGAAUUGGACGGGAGCUCGCUGGCCGCCAGUACAGGCCCAUGCCUAGGAGCCCUGAGCCCCAAUCGGUGGCGCACUGGAUGGGAAGCUCGCUGGGCACCGACACAAGACGGAGAAACCUGGCCGCAAAGACCAUGUCGAUGCAGAGCACGUCCGCGCGGUGCACGAGCCGCACAGCUGCGCGUACUACAGAUCGACCUCGCCGCUCGCCGCCAUCCAGCGCGGCCAUCUCGCGGCGCACGAGGCCACACAGGAGCUACAUGUACAUCUCUGGUACAGAUCUACGGCGCUCCUCGCCGCCAUCCGUAG
rnacentral:rRNA from 1 species